rnacentral:rRNA from 1 species
CCAGACUCCUACGGGAGGCAGCAGUGGGGAAUAUUGGGCAAUGGGCGCAAGCCUGACCCAGCAAUGCCGCGUGAAGGAAGAAGGCUUUCGGGUUGUAAACUUCUUUGACAGGGGAAGAGCAGAAGACGGUACCCUGAAAACAAGCCACGGCUAACUACGUGCCAGCAGCCGCGGUAAUACGUAGGUGGCAAGCGUUGUCCGGAUUUACUGGGUGUAAAGGGCGUGUAGCCGGGAAGGCAAGUCAGAUGUGAAAUCUGGAGGCUCAACCUCCAAAUUGCAUUUGAAACUGUUUUUCUUGAGUACUGGAGAGGCAGACGGAAUUCCUUGUGUAGCGGUGAAAUGCGUAGAUAUAAGGAGGAACACCAGUGGCGAAGGCGGUCUGCUGGACAGCAACUGACGGUGAGGCGCGAAAGCGUGGGGAGCAAACAGGAUUAGAUACCCGAGUA